rnacentral:ribozyme from 1 species
ACUGGGUGAAUUAGAGCUAAAUCUCCUAAAAAAAUCUUGAAAAC